rnacentral:rRNA from 1 species
UCCAGACUCCUGCGGGAGGCAGCAGUGAGGAAUAUUGGUCAAUGGGCGAGAGCCUGAACCAGCCAAGUCGCGUGAGGGAGUACUGCCCUAUGGGUUGUAAACCUCUUUUGUCGGGGAGCAAAAGCCGGACGUGUCCGGCUGUGAGAGUACCCGAAGAAAAAGCAUCGGCUAGCUCCGUGCCAGCAGCCGCGGUAAUACGGAGGAUGCGAGCGUUAUCCGGAUUUAUUGGGUUUAAAGGGUGCGUAGGCGGAUCGUUAAGUCAGUGGUCAAAUGGGGGGGCUCACCCCCUUCCCGCCAUUGAAACUGGCGAUCUUGAGUGGAAGAGAAGUAUGCGGAAUGCGUGGUGUAGCGGUGAAAUGCAUAGAUAUCACGCAGAACCCCGAUUGCGAAGGCAGCAUGACGGCUUCCGACUGACGCUGAAGCACGAAAGCGUGGGGAUCGAACAGGAUUAGAUACCCCAGUAAG